rnacentral:rRNA from 1 species
GACGUAGGGUGCGAGCGUUGUCCGGAUUUAUUGGGCGUAAAGAGCUCGUAGGCGGCUCGUUGCGUCGACCGUGAAAACCCGCAGCUUAACUGCGGGCUUGCGGUUGAUACGGGCGGGCUAGAGUUCGGUAGGGGAGACUGGAAUUCCUGGUGUAGCGGUGAAAUGCGUAGAUAUCUGGAGGAAUACCGGUGGCGAAGGCGGCAUCCUGGACCGGCAUUGGCGCUGAGUGAGCGAAAGCUAGGGGAGCAAACGGG